rnacentral:rRNA from 1 species
AAUGAACGCUGGCGGCGCGCCUAAUACAUGCAAGUCGAGCGAGAAGACGUAGCAAUACGUUUGUAAAGCGGCGAACGGGUGAGGAAUACAUGGGUAACCUACCCUCGAGUGGGGAAUAACUAGCCGAAAGGUUAGCUAAUACUGCGUACGCUUCUUGGACUUCGGUUCAGGGAGGAAAGCGAUGCCGAGGGUAUCGCGCUCUUGGAUGGGCUCAUGUCCUAUCAGCUUGNGGUGAGGUAACGGCUCACCAAGGCUUCGACGGGUAGCUGGUCUGAGAGGACGAUCAGCCACACUGGCACUGCGACACGGGCCAGACUCCUACGGGAGGCAGCAGUAAGGAAUAUUGCGCAAAUGGGCGAAAAGCCUGACGCAGCGACGCCGCGCGGGGGAUGAAGGUCUUCGGAUUGUAAACCCCUUUCGGG